CCUCCCUUCACUUCGCCUUGAAUCUGGGCUGGGCCCAUAUCUCAUUUAUAGCUAAUAGAAUGUAGCAGAAGUGACACAAAGGGACUUCCAAGACUAGGUCACAGGUAACCAUUUUGUUUCUGCCUUGGCGUCUUGGCAUGCAUGCUCUAUGGGAAGCCAGCUGCCUUGUGAGAAGUCUGACUACUCUAAGAAGAAGUCCCAGCUAGAGAUGACACAUGGCAAGAGAGGUGUCCAACCAGCGUCCAGACUUGCAGCCUUCCCAGCCCAGGAGGGUAGCAAACUGAGGCACCAUGGGAUGAGUCCAUCUACCCCACUGGAGAGACCACAUGGAGAGGGGGAGGGGUCCAGCUGAGCCCAGCCCAGUCUCCCGCUGUCCCCAGCGGGGUGCCAGGCAUGUGAGUGAUGACAUCCAGGAUCCUCAGACCAGACCAGAUGCCACCUGAAUACCACUGAGUAGCCCCAGUCAAAGCUCUAUGAAGCCUAAGUGUCUCCAGGCUAAGCCCUGCCUGAAUUUAUGACCCAUAAAUGGUGAGAUAUAGUAAAAUGUUAGUAUGUUCAAGCCAGUUUUGUUGUUUGCUGCUCAGCAAUUAAUAAACAGAACAGCCCCAUUUGUUGACAGUCAAGCAACAUCGAAGUUGACAAGCCCCUGCACCACCUGGAAGCCUUGUCAUGUGAUCCCCACAGAGGCCACUGUGGCUGAGUCUCCAGUGUCCAUUACAUCCCAGCUGAUUGCUCUAAGUAAACCUUGCUAACAUCAUUCUCCUUGACAGGUGGAUAUGGGGAGGCUUGAGACAAUGUAAGCCCCUGUGUCAUGAGGGGAGGCUCCUAAACACUCUAGUAAAAGAUUUUUCAUGGGUAUCAGCUCUCUUUCUCUCCUUCACUGGAUGUGAAAAAAGACAUAUAUCCCAAUUGCCAUUAGCAGCCACCAUCUUAUUACAGGGGGAACUAGACUUGGGAAGAAGCCAGUGUUAUUGAGGGCAGAGGGGAGAGAUGGAAAGAACCUAAGACCACAAUGGUAUCAAUGAAUCACUGAAUCAACCAACCCUGAAGCCCACCCUACAGUUGGACAGGUGCUAUGUGAACCAAUUCUUAAGUUUCCAGCUUAAGCUAAUUUGUGCAGGAUUUUUUGCUUGCUACUCAAGGCAACCUACUUAAUUUAAUGCUAUGGUUCCUUUCUGUGGAAUAUGGAUAUUUAGUUGGUAAAUUCAAUUUCUUAAUUUCUAGCUUAUCCUGAACUCAACCUAUUCUCACUUGCUGUAGUUAAAGCCCUAGAAUGGAGAAUGAGAGAGAAAUAUUCUUGAGCCAGCUAUCAUUUAAACCAUAAUUUUGACUUACUACACAAAAUCCAUGAAAGCAGUGCCUCUAAACAGUAAGAGUGCUACCAAUGAAUAUUAAUAGCAAUAAUUAUAAGAAGGAUAACAAAUAUCAUGGAGGAGUCGCAAUAUGCCAAACAUUGUUUUAAAUACCAUAUGGAUUACCUCAUUUAAUUCCCAUAACACUUCCAUGUGGUUAGAGAUAUUUUAAUCUCCAUUUUACAGAGCAGAAUCUGAGACAGGAAAAAAUUAAGUUAAUUUUUUUCUAGGUCACACAGCAGCAAGUGGUGGAAUUGGAAUUUAAACUGAGAAAGUCUGACUCCCGAGCUCUGUCUCUUAACAACUAUUAUAAACCAAGGUAGUAGUAACAAGGAAAGUAGUAGCACCAAUAAAAUAAAUAAGAAGUAUUAUAGAUUUGUUAGUAAGAAAGGACGACUCGACCAGGCGCGGUGGCUUAUGCCUGUAAUCCUAGCACUUUGGGAGGCUCAGGUGGGUGGAUCACAAGGUCAGGAGAUCGAGACCAUCCUGGCCAACAUGGUAAAACCCCGUCUCUACUAAAAAAAAAAUACAAAAAUUAGCUGGAUGUGGUGGUGCGUGCCUGUAAUCCCAGCUACUCAGGAGGCUGAGGCAGGAGAAUCUCUUGAACCAGGGAGUUGGAGGUUGCAGUGAGCUGAGAUCGCGCCACAGCACUCCAGUCUGGUGACGGAGCAAGACGCCGUCUCAAAAAAAAAAAAAAAAAAGAAAAGAAAGGACGACUCAUGGGCGAUGUGGAGGAUUUGGGAGUGAAUGAAUCAAUUAUGAGGUACAAGUGGACCCUCAAUAUUUUACACAUGCCCAUGAACACUACUUAUUGAUGUUUUAUAAAUAGCUACAUUAUUACAUAUUCAUAUACACAUAUAUAUACUAUGGAUUUAUUGUGUGUGUGUGUGUUUUUUUAGACAGAGUCUUGCUCUAUCACCCAGGCUGGAGUGAGUGUAGUGGUGCAAUCUCAGCUCACUGCAACCUCUGCCUCCCAGCUUCAAGUGAUUCUCGUGUUUCAGCCUCUGGAGUAGCGGGAUUACAGGUGCACGCUACCAUGCCCCGCUAAUUUUUAGUAGAGACGGGGUUUCACCAUGUUGGCCAGGCUGGUCUUGAACUCCCGACCUCAAGUGAUCCAGCCACCUCAGCAUCCCAAAGUACUGUGACUACAGGCAUGAGCCACUGUGCUCAGAUGAUUUACUGUUAAUGUUUCUUUUUUAUGUGACCUUUCAAACUUUAGUUUUAUUAAUCAUGGUAACGUAUUUUGGGAGAAAGCUGUGACCCUAGACAACAGGUGUCAAAACCAAGCCCCAUAGCAGUGGUUUUCCCUUGAUCAGCCCCAGUUGCUCCCUCUGGCUUCACUUCCUCCUGGCUGCCUCUGAACUCACCGUGCUAACACUUCCAACUGUAGUCAGGUCACUGGGGCAAAAUGCAGAGGAACUGGAUAUCGCAAAAUGCAGAGGAGCUGGGUAUCCCAAAAUGAGUUCUGCAUCUGUUUGAGAUAAGACCUUCAUUCCUCCAAUGUCACUGGUAUGUCUGCUUAGAGGAAAGGAGCUCCUGACUGGCUGAUUUUACCACCAAUUUUGCCAGAGCCUAGGCAUUGCUGAGUCACACAUGUACCUGCUCUUCAGGCUCUUUCUUCUGAAAAGUAAAACUCUUCAGUAUCGUGGCUAGGCUUCCAUACAGACCCAGCCUUCACAAACAAACAAGCUGUCAGGUCAAAUCCUUGGAGAAGUGAGUCUGUAUUCAAACCAGAGCCCUCCAAGGGCUGCAUGGGAAAUGUUCCCUCUCUGGGAUUCAGUCUGUUCUGAGGACUGGGCAGCGGGCAACCUCUGAACAAAGACAAUUCCUGUAUUUUGAGGCUCUUGAGCAUCGCGUUGAUCUUACGAAGUGGCCAGGCACGCGCCAGCCUCCUCAGAGGCAAAUACUCCAGGGAACAACGUUGCUUAUUGACAACAGACGCCUGUGAGUGGGAAGCAUCAUUCCCUUCCGAGAAUUUGAUUCCAUUCAAGGCUGCUGAAGAAAAUUUGUUUUUUAAAACAUGACAGAUUUUUUCCAGAUGAUAUCCAGGUUUGCUAGCAAUUUAAGAGACCUGCUAUAUUUUAUACUGAGUGUAUCCACUCCCUGCAAAAAACAGAUCACAGAGAUUGCAACCCUCCCCAUGUUGAAAGAACUUUUCUCCAACUGAUGUCAUUAUCGCCUUAUUUCAAGCUGUUCCCACAGAAUUCACCCUGAUCUUCUCCUUUGUGCCUUCAUUUAUUUAUACAUUCAACACAUGCUUUCAUUUCACAUGAAGAGAUUGUCACAUUCCAGGCACUGGGCAAGCUAUUGAGAAUACUGGGGUGUACAAGAUAGAUACACUUCCUGCCAUGAUGGAGUUUAGCAGGGAGGGCUGACCAGUUCUUAGAGGGUGGUGAGUAUAAUCACAGGGCAAUAUGGUGGGUAUUCUCAGCAGGUACUGGGGAUGAGGUGGGGCAUCUAGACAGGCUGUGAGGCAGGGAACAUCUUCUUAAGCAAGUGGAGUGUAACCCAAGACCUAAGGAUGAGUAGUACUGGGCCAGGGGAAGAGGUAGAACAGAGUGUUCCAGGCUAUGCAGAUGUCGUCCACUGGCACUCAAUAUCUACUCCAACCUUCUUCUACCGUGUUAGUCUGGAAAGCUAAAAGCCACAUUUUCUGGGUUUCUUUGUAGUACGUGUUCUGAAUGUGAAUUAGCUCCAUCAGUCAGUGCAUUCCUGCGGGAUUUGGAAGAUGGGGGUGCUGCAGUGGCCUCACCUCCCUGCUUCUGUGGCUUCUGCUGGUUGGUAAGCUCCUCAUGGACGGAAGUCUGGCCGCCACAAGGCACUUCUUGAUUUUGGUGGCUUCCUGGGUAUUUCAGUUUCUAGGUUGUGGCUGUUUGCUGGUUUUGGUGGGUUUUUGAUCCUGGCAGAGAGCUGCUGCAGGGGCAGCUUCCCAAUUUGGCUGCCAGCUCCCUGAUGGCAGAAGAGACAAAAGCACCCGAGGUGGCCAGAUCUGCCUGCAGCUCUUGGGGUUGUCUUAGAGUCUCAUUUUCCCGGCUUGCCAUUGCUUCUGGAACCAUGUAAUAUCCUGCAAUAAAUAAAUCCCUUACUACUUAAUCUAACUAGAAUCGCUUCUCAUUCCUAUAACUGAUCCCUAAACAACUUACAGACCAUAGGAACCACAUAUGUGAAUGUCCACUAGGAAGAAAGCUGGUAGCAUUCCAAGGAUGCCCCCAUGCGUCUGGGACAGAGCCAUUUAAGGGAAGAAGGACUGGAGGGACAAGAAAGUGCUAAAUCAUGGAGUGUCUUAUUAAGCAGGCUAAAAAUCUCUAUUGAAAGGGCAACUGAAGGUUUUCAAGCUGUUUGACCCCAGAACCAGAUUUGUACUUUUCAAACACACUGCCCACUAAGUGGAGAAGAGAUGGAAGGCAGAGACUGAACACAAGAACACCAGUUGGAAUCUAUUGUGUUAGUCCUGGAUUCAGAAUAUGCCUCAUGUAUCAAUACUCAAUUCCAUGUUGAAAACAGGUAGUUAAGAGAUUCUCAAGUUUAUUUGUGUAAAAAAUUAGAUCUUUCUUACUUCAUCUUCUAUCUUAUUCCAAAUAGAGUGUGACCACCAUUCUUUUCUUUCUUUUUUUUAAGAUGGAGUU
rnacentral:lncRNA from 10 species